rnacentral:rRNA from 1 species
UACGUAGGGUGCAAGCGUUGUCCGGAAUUAUUGGGCGUAAAGAGCUCGUAGGCGGUUCGUCGCGUCGGCUGUGAAAACCCGGAGCUCAACUCCGGGCCUGCAGUCGAUACGGGCGGACUGGAGUUCGGCAGGGGAGACUGGAAUUCCUGGUGUAGCGGUGAAAUGCGCAGAUAUCAGGAAGAACACCCGUGGCUAAGGCGGCUCUCUAGUACGGUACUGACGCUGAGACGCGAAAGCGUGGGUAGCAAACAGG